GUGUGCUUUUAAGGUUGAUGCAGUGCUUUAAGGGGCCAACACAGAAGGGUAAAGGAAUAAAACCCAGAAAAGAGAUUCUAAAGCUCCCCUUUGUAUCCUUUCUGGAGUCACAACU
ensembl:snoRNA